UGCAGAUGGGCGCCUUCGGGCGUUAAUGCGCUGAAACCAAAGGUUCCACCAGGUCCAAAGUCCUG
rnacentral:ribozyme from 1 species